rnacentral:rRNA from 1 species
UUCCGGUUGAUCCUGCCGGACCUAACUGCUAUCGGAGUGGGACUAAGCCAUGCGAGUCGUACGUCCUUUGACUAUGUGAAGGGCGUGGCGAACGGCUCAGUAACACGUAGUUAAUCUACCCUGAAAACGUGGAUAACCCCGGGAAACUGGGAUUAAUAUGCGAUAGGUGAAAACUUCUGGAAUGGGUUUUCGUUGAAAAGGGUGAGCAGGCAUGUUUGCUCAUUUGUUUUAGGAUGGGACUGCGACCGAUCAGGUUGUUGGUGGGGUAAUGGCCUACCAAGCCUUCGACCGGUACGGGCUUUGAGAGAAGGAGCCCGGAGAUGGACACUGAGAUAAGGGUCCAGGUCCUACGGGGCGCAGCAGGCGCGAAAACUUCGCAAUGUGCGAAAGCGCGACGAGGCUACUCCGAGUGUCAUCCGCUGAGGAUGACUUUUACUAAGUCUAAAUAGCUUUGAGAAUAAGGGGAGGGCAAGACUGGUGUCAGCCGCCGCGGUAAUACCAGCUCCCCGAGUGGUUGGGACGAUUAUUGGGCCUAAAGCAUCCGUAGCCGGCUCUAUGAGUCUUCCAUUAAAUUCAACGGCUCAACCGUUGAGCUGUGGGAGAUACCGUAGGGCUAGGAGGCGGGAGAGGCGGACGGUACUCCAUGGGUAGGGGUAAAAUCUUCUGAACCAUGGAAGACCACCAGUGGCGAAGGCGGUCCGCCAGAACGCGCUCGACGGUGAGGGAUGAAAGCUGGGGGAGCGAACCGGAUUAGAUACCCGGGUAGUCCCAGCUGUAAACUUUGCGAGCUAGGUGAUGGAGUGGCUAUGAGUCACUCCAGUGCCGCAGGGAAGCCGUUAAGCUCGCCGCCUGGGGAGUGCGGUCGCAAGACUGAAACUUAAAGGAAUUGG